AGAGUUUGAUCCUGGCUCAGGAUGAACGCUGGCGGCGUGCUUAACACAUGCAAGUCGAACGAACCUUCGGGUUAGUGGCGGACGGGUGAGUAACGCGUGGGAAUCUGCCCUCAGGAGGGGGAUAACGGCUGGAAACGGCCGCUAAUACCCCAUAUGCCGAGAGGUGAAAAGAAAUUCGCCUGAGGAUGAGCCCGCGUCUGAUUAGCUAGUUGGUGGGGUAAGAGCUCACCAAGGCGACGAUCAGUAGCUGGUCUGAGAGGAUGAUCAGCCACACUGGGACUGAGACACGGCCCAGACUCCUACGGGAGGCAGCAGUGGGGAAUUUUCCGCAAUGAGCGAAAGCCUGACGGAGCAACGCCGCGUGAGGGAUGAAGGCCUCUGGGCUGUAAACCUCUUUUCUCAAGGAAGAAGACAUGACGGUACUUGAGGAAUAAGCCACGGCUAAUUCCGUGCCAGCAGCCGCGGUAAUACGGGAGUGGCAAGCGUUAUCCGGAAUUAUUGGGCGUAAAGCGUCCGCAGGCGGCCCUGUAAGUCUGUCGUUAAAGCGUGGAGCUUAACUCCAUUUAAGCGAUGGAAACUACAGGGCUUGAGUGUGGUAGGGGCAGAGGGAAUUCCCGGUGUAGCGGUGAUAUGCGUAGAUAUCGGGAAGAACACCAGUGGCGAAGGCGCUCUGCUGGGCCAUAACUGACGCUCAUGGACGAAAGCCAGGGGAGCGAAAGGGAUUAGAUACCCCUGUAGUCCUGGCCGUAAACGAUGAACACUAGGUGUCGGGGGAAUCGACCCCCUCGGUGUCGUAGCCAACGCGUUAAGUGUUCCGCCUGGGGAGUACGCACGCAAGUGUGAAACUCAAAGGAAUUGACGGGGGCCCGCACAAGCGGUGGAGUAUGUGGUUUAAUUCGAUGCAACGCGAAGAACCUUACCAGGGUUUGACAUCCUGCGAAUCCCUUGGAAACGAGGGAGUGCCUUCGGGAGCGCAGAGACAGGUGGUGCAUGGCUGUCGUCAGCUCGUGUCGUGAGAUGUUGGGUUAAGUCCCGCAACGAGCGCAACCCACGUCUUUAGUUGCCAGCAUUCAGUUGGGCACUCUAGAGAGACCGCCGGUGAUAAACCGGAGGAAGGUGUGGAUGACGUCAAGUCAUCAUGCCCCUUACAUCCUGGGCUACACACGUACUACAAUGCUACGGACAAAGGGCAGCAAGCUCGCGAGAGUUAGCAAAUCCCAUAAACCGUGGCUCAGUUCAGAUCGUAGGCUGCAACUCGCCUACGUGAAGGAGGAAUCGCUAGUAAUCGCAGGUCAGCAUACUGCGGUGAAUACGUUCCCGGGCCUUGUACACACCGCCCGUCACACCAUGGAAGUUGGCCACGCCCGAAGUCGUUACUCCAACCCU
rnacentral:rRNA from 1 species